rnacentral:rRNA from 1 species
UACGUAGGGUGCAAGCGUUAAUCGGAAUUACUGGGCGUAAAGCGUGCGCAGGCGGUUGUGCAAGACAGAUGUGAAAUCCCCGGGCCUAACCUGGGAAUUGCAUUUGUGUCUGUACGGCUAGAGUGUGUCAGAGGGGGGUAGAAUUCCACGUGUAGCAGUGAAAUGCGUAGAGAUGUGGAGGAAUACCGAUGGCGAAGGCAGCCCCCUGGGAUAACACUGACGCUCAUGCACGAAAGCGUGGGGAGCAAACAGG